AUUGCAACCCAGGGAUUGCCACUGUGAAUCUGUCCCUUAGUUAGAUUAACACAAUUUAUCAAACCUUCAAUAGAAGAAGAGCUGGCCAAUUUUUAAACUUUUAGUCUUUUAAUUAAAAUUAAGUUAGAGCAACUCAAUGGUGUUGUUUUAGUGAAAUAUGAGAUUUUUAUUUUAUUGUAAGGACUAUUUUGUUUGCUUGUUCUCCAUUCACAAUAUGGUUUAGCUUUGACCUUGAGAAGACCAAGAGAGUAUACUUUGCCUGCCAUCUAGAACUUUUGUUUAUCGCGAUUGACCGUGGUUUAUAAUCCUGGUUUUACUGCAGGUGCUACAUGCUGCGGUGAUGAAGCAGCUUGAAAUAUCUAAGUUGCUGGAGAACAUGUGGAAGUCAAGGUGUCGGGCAAGUUGGUUCUUUGGGUUUUCUGAUUAUUUUGUUCUCUGCCUUGGAUAAAUGGUUGCAAACAAGAGGAUCCUAGUGAUCCCUUGAUGAUUCCACAUAACGGAUUCUGCAUAUAUGUGCACUGAUGAAAAUCUUUGUGCCAUGCUUUGCAGCGGUUCGCUGACUCAUUCUGUGAAGGCACUUGGCAUCUCCCUCAAGAUUGAUACCGAAUUGGCACUCAAAGUCGGAAGGCGUACCGGACGAGCCUAAUUAUCCCUACCUAAAAAAUAAUAAUGUCCAAGCAUUCAAAUCCUUUCUUCUAGUUGGUGCUUACCAUGCUGCAUUUUAAAACUCAAAUAAAAAAUAUAAGACAGUUCCAGAAUGGUCGUAUGAUAGAAUUAUGAUCUAAAGAGUAAUGCAAAGCCUCAAAGACCUAGGAGCACUUCAACCUACAGGGACUUAUCAUCAGCAUAGGUACACUGAAUCCAGAUUUCCCGUUUGCAAAGAUUGCUGCACGCUAUGCCCAAGAACUUCUAGAUUUAAAGUAGAGGCGGCAAACCGGGCCGUAAAUCAUGGAGCAGAUAAGGAAGCUUACAUUGAUCUCUUAAUUUGUGAAAAAGUACAAUGUUUAUUUAAUGAAAAGUCAAAUCUUCUAUUGUUCAAAUCCAGCAUUGUUAGGUGUUGCAGCUUGGAUUGGCUUUGGAAAAGUUUAGAUCCUAAGUACUAGCUAAAAAGAAAUUGAAGAAUUCUGUGCUUACCUUCUAAUCAAUUUUAUGUCAAUGUGCUUUGUAAAUGUGGUGUUACUUUGGAAAUAAUCUAUCUUGAGUUAUGACUUCUUAGGCGUAAGGUCUUCUAUUUGCGUGUUUGAUUUCAGCU